rnacentral:rRNA from 1 species
CUACGGGUCGCUGCAGUGGGGAAUAUUGCACAAUGGAGGAAACUCUGAUGCAGCAACGCCGCGUGGAGGAUGACACUUUUCGGAGCGUAAACUCCUUUUAUAUAGGAAGAAGAUGACGGUACUAUAUGAAUAAGCGCCGGCUAACUCCGUGCCAGCAGCCGCGGUAAUACGGAGGGCGCAAGCGUUACUCGGAAUCACUGGGCGUAAAGAGCGUGUAGGCGGAUUAAAAAGUCAGAAGUGAAAUCCUAUAGCUUAACUACAGAACUGCUUCUGAAACUCUUAAUCUAGAAUAUGGGAGAGGUAGAUGGAAUUUCUGGUGUAGGGGUAAGAUCCGUAGAGAUCAGAAGGAAUACCGAUGGCGAAGGCGAUCUACUAGAACAUUAUUGACGCUGAGACGCGAAAGCGUGGGGAGCAAACAGGAUUAGAUACCCUGGUAGUC